GGCAGCUGGGGUAGCCGGUGACUCCCCAGAGCACUGGCUGGGCAGGAACCCGUACACUUGACCUUUCCGCUAGAGGCUUUCAAGGCAAGAAGAUGCACUGCCAAGAGGGAUUCAUCCCUUCUCCUCCUGAGAUCUGGAUUUAAAAACAGCAGAAAAGACACACACACUCCCCUAUGUAUGAAUAAAAAUGGAGAGGUUUGGUUCAGUGGCUGUGUGGUU
rnacentral:lncRNA from 1 species